UUCCCUUCCCUUCCUUCCCUU
rnacentral:misc_RNA from 1 species